AGAGUUUGAUCCUGGCUCAGAUUGAACGCUGGCGGCAUGCCUUACACAUGCAAGUCGGACGGCAGCGCGGGGGCAACCCUGGCGGCGAGUGGCGAACGGGUGAGUAAUGUAUGGGGAUCUGCCUGAUGGCGGGGGAUAACUACUGGAAACGGUAGCUAAUACCGCAUAAUGUCUUCGGACCAAAGCGGGGGACCUUCGGGCCUCGCGCCAUCAGAUGAACCCAUAUGGGAUUAGCUAGUAGGUGGGGUAACGGCUUACCAAGGCGACGAUCUGUAGCUGGUCUGAGAGGGCGACCAGCCACACUGGGACUGAGACACGGCCCAGACUCCUACGGGAGGCAGCAGUGGGGAAUUUUGGACAAUGGGGGCAACCCUGAUCCAGCAAUGCCGCGUGUGUGAAGAAGGCCUUCGGGUUGUAAAGCACUUUUGUCCGGAAAGAAAUCCUCCGUCCUAAUACGGUGGGGGGAUGACGGUACCGGAAGAAUAAGCACCGGCUAACUACGUGCCAGCAGCCGCGGUAAUAC
rnacentral:rRNA from 1 species